AAUAAGAAGCGAUUAUUUGCAUUUAGUUUCGACCUAAAAGUUUGAUGAAUUUUCAUCCUUAUUU
rnacentral:tRNA from 1 species